rnacentral:rRNA from 1 species
AUGAUCCUGCAAGCAAGCAAUUGCAAGCAGCAGAGGAUCUAUCAAGAAUUAAUGCCUAUGCAGCUGUGUCAUCCUUGCCUUGCUGUGUAUGGCAUUCUUUUGCUUCUUUGUUGGCCAUUCGCUUGUGCCCAUGCUUAUGCAUCUCAGAGCCGGCUUGUCCCUGGCAAGCCGCUCUCCCCUGGGAGUGUCGUCGUCUCCCAAGAUGGGGUGUUUGCCCUGGGAUUCUUCUCCACCGAUGGGGAUGGGGAGAAGCGGCAGCGCCACUAUGUGGGCAUAUGGUACAACAGCAUCCCGGAGCGCACCGUGGUAUGGGUUUCUAACCGUGCGGCGCCCAUCACCACUAACCUUUCCUCUGCAAAUCUUGCGGUGACCAGCAGCUCCGGCAUAGUGCUGUCUGAUAGCGAUGGCCGUGCCGUGUGGACAACCAACAAGAGCAUCAGCAUCAGCGCGAGCGCGAGCGCGAGCGCGAGCACGGUGGAAGCAGUGUUGGACAACACCGGCAACUUCAUCCUUCGGUCGUUGGCCGACAGUGCCAUACUAUGGCAAAGCUUCGACCACCCUACCGACACCCUCCUCCCCGGCAUGAACCUGAGGCUGAGCCACAAGACGCUCCCACUGCAGCACCUCGUGUCGUGGAAAGGGCAGCAGGACCCAUCCCCCGGCGAGUUCUCGUACGGCGCGGACCCUAGCAACCUCCUCCGGUGCUUCGCCUGGAACGGGUCGAGGCCACACCGGCGAAGCCCGGUGUGGACAAGCCACCUCUACAUGGGCGGAUUCAACGAGUCGGCCAUUUACAUGGCCUUGCAUCACGCCGGCGACGAGGUGUACAUGUCCUUCGGCAUGCCGGCUGGCUCCUUCGUCCAGCUGGUGAGGUUGGAGAUCGACUACUCAGGCAAGGUAAAUAUACUAAGCUGGCAGAGCAACAUGUCCGCAUGGAGGGCCCUGUACGCAGAGCCUCAACAUGAGUGCAAUACGUACGGCUACUGCGGUCCUUAUGGUUACUGCGACAACACACAAAUCGUCCCGGUUUGCAAGUGCCUUGACGGUUUUGAACCGAGGGAUGCUAAAGGAUGGAUCUCCGGUAGCUUCUCACAGGGAUGCCGCCCCAAGGAGGUGCCAAGGUGCACCCAUGGAGACAGUUUCUUGGCCUUUCCGGGCAUGAAGGUCCCGGACAAGUUCCUUCGUGUCCCGAGCAGAAGCUUUGAUGAGUGCACCGAGGAAUGCAGAAGCAAUUGCUCCUGCGUGGCAUAUGCUUACUCCAAGAUGAGCAACAUAGAUAUUGACGGGGAUGACACAAGAUGCCUGUUAUGGAUAGGCGAUUUUAUCGACAUGGAGAACAACCAUCAAGGAGGGGAGAACCUCUAUGUUCGGACUAAAAGAUUGCAAGGCAACAUGAGAAAGAUCAAAACCAUAGAAAUUGUAUUACCAGUUGUGUCAAGUUUUCUGAUACUCAUAUGCGUGGGGCUUCUUUGGAUCUGUGGCUUUAGAGGCAAUCAAGGAAGCAAGCUUGUCUGGGAAAGGUUGAUGCGUCGAGAUACAGGAAAUUACAAUCAGUUCGCUGAUGGUAACACGGAGUUUCCCAUUUUGAACUUUAGGGAAAUUGCUACCGCGACAAAUAAUUUCUCUGAAUCCAACAUUCUUGGCAAAGGAGGGUUUGGCAAUGUUUAUAAGGGAACGUUGGAAGAUGGUAAGGAAAUUGCUGUGAAAAGGCUUCGUGUAGGUUCUGUCCAAGGGGCAGUGGAGUUCAAAAAUGAAAUAGCUCUGAUUUCCAGGUUGCAGCAUAGAAACUUGGUCAAACUUAUAGGCUGCAGUAUUCAUGAAGACGAAAAGUUUUUGAUUUAUGCAUACCUACCUAACCGAAGUCUGGAUUACUUCAUUUUCAAUGAUAGAAGAAAAUCACUGCUCAAUUGGCCCACAAGAUUUAAGAUAAUCGCUGGUGUAGCCAGGGGACUUCUUUAUCUCCACCAAGAUUCCAGAUUGACGAUGAUCCAUAGAGAUCUCAAAGCAAGCAACAUAUUGUUGGAUGCUGAGAUGAUCCCCAAAAUAUCAGAUUUUGGUACGGCUAGGAUCUUUAGUGUCAAUCAACACGAAGGACAUACAAAUCGAGUUGUUGGAACAUUCGGAUACAUGUCGCCUGAAUACGCAAUGGAAGGCAUCAUCUCCGUCAAAUCCGAUGUUUACAGCUUUGGCAUAUUAGUUCUAGAGAUUGUGAGUGGCAUGAAGACCGGCGCCACAACCCCGACAAGCUCACGCGCGCGCACUCAUAAUCUUAUAGAUUAUGCGUGGAGCUUAAUGAAGGAUGGGAAAGUGAUGGAUCUAAUCGAGUCAUCCAUCGUUGAGGGUUGCUCUCUCGUUGAAGCUCUACGAUGCAUCCAUAUCGGACUCUUGUCGGUGCAGGACGACCCAGAGGCUCGCCCCCUCAUGUCUUGGGUGGUAGCAAGCCUGGAUAAUGAAGACAUUGAGCUCCCGCAGCCAAAAGAGCCUAUGUGCUUUGCACACCGUAACUACGGAGCCGGGGAAAGCCAUGUGCAUGAUAUGAGCCUCGUAAACCUCAAGGGGCGCUAG